UGGUAUGUACUGGCUUUACUGAUUCCUCCUUCUUGAAGAACUGCAAUGUCAUUAAUUUGGUGUUGCAGGGAAACAGGACUGUUACUUUGAAAAAAUUAGAGUGUUUAAAGCAGGCUAACGCUUGAAUACAUUAGCAUGGAAUAAUGAAAUAGGACGUUUGAUCCUAUUUUGUUGGUUUCUAGGAUUGACGUAAUGAUUAAUAGGGAUAGUUGGGGGCAUUAGUAUUCAAUUGUCAGAGGUGAAAUUCUUGGAUUUAUUGAAGACUGACUACUGCGAAAGCAUUUGCCAAGGAUGUUUUCAUUAAUCAAGAACGAAAGUUAGGGGAUCGAAGACGAUCAGAUACCGUCGUAGUCUUAACCAUAAACUAUGCCGACUAGGGAUCGGAUGAUGUUAAUUUUUUAAUGACUCAUUCGGCGCCUUACG
rnacentral:rRNA from 1 species